rnacentral:rRNA from 1 species
GUGGGGAAUUUUGGACAAUGGGCGCAAGCCUGAUCCAGCAAUGCCGCGUGCAGGAAGAAGGCCUUCGGGUUGUAAACUGCUUUUGUACGGAACGAAACGGUCCUGGUUAAUACCUGGGGCUAAUGACGGUACCGUAAGAAUAAGCACCGGCUAACUACGUGCCAGCAGCCGCGGUAAUACGGAGGGUGCGAGCGUUAAUCGGAAUUACUGGGCGUAAAGCGUGCGCAGGCGGUGCUGUAAGACAGGCGUGAAAUCCCCGGGCUCAACCUGGGAAUUGCGCUUGUGACUGCAGUGCUGGAGUACGGCAGAGGGGGAUGGAAUUCCGCGUGUAGCAGUGAAAUGCGUAGAUAUGCGGAGGAACACCGAUGGCGAAGGCAGUCCCCUGGGCCUGUACUGACGCUCAUGCACGAAAGCGUGGGGAGCAAACAGGAUUAGAUACCCGUGUAGUCC